GGGCGCAUAGCUCAGUUGGUUAGAGCGCUGUGUUCACAUCGCAGAGGUCCGUGGUUCGAAUCCACGUGCGCCCACCA
rnacentral:tRNA from 2 species